CAGUCGCCACGGUAAUACGUAGGGUGCGAGCGUUAAUCGGAAUUACUGGGCGUAAAGCGUGCGCAGGCGGUUCGUUAAGACAGAUGUGAAAUCCCCGGGCUUAACCUGGGAACUGCAUUUGAAACUGGCAGGCUAGAGUCUCGUAGAGGGGGGUAGAAUUCCAGGUGUAGCGGUGAAAUGCGUAGAGAUCUGGAGGAAUACCGGUGGCGAAGGCGGCCCCCUGGACAAAGACUGACGCUCAGGUGCGAAAGCGUGGGGAGCAAACAGGAUUAGAUACCCGAGUAGUCCCUGUCUCUUAUAC
rnacentral:rRNA from 1 species